AAGAUUCUAGUAAAAACUAUUACAUUACCUUGUCAGGGUAAUAUUGUGGGUUAAACCCCCACGAGUCUUAA
rnacentral:tRNA from 1 species